AACAAAACCAAGAAAACCCUCCACUACACUCACAUUCGAAGCCUCUCUCUUCUCUUCUCUACAACUAAAACUCAAACCUAAUCUGAAAAAAAAACCCAAGCGAAGCAGCCGCCAGAUCUCAUUAUUAGCCUCAGCACCUCCAAGUUGUUGACCUCAUCUCUUCCUUCUUCGAAAACCCAGUUGUGCCUCUUGGAUCUUCCUCUUAAUUCGCAGCUGCAAAACCAUGUUUGAGAUACUCAAUGGGGCUUGGAGAAAAUAGCUCAUACCACUUCAAUGAUUCAAUCCCACCCUCUUAGAACUAAGAUUUUGUAUUCAAUCAGAGAGAUGAUUUCUGGAACGAGGCCAUUAAACUUGCUGAUUUGCACCACCUCAAUGUGGUAGCUUCUAUGGUGUUGU